GCGCGAUUAGCUCAGUUGGUAGAGCAACAUGUUUACACCAUGAAGGUCGGGGGUUCAAGUCCCUCAUCGCGCACCA
rnacentral:tRNA from 1 species